rnacentral:lncRNA from 1 species
CUGACUUGUUAAAAUGAUAAAUCCAGUGUGUUCUCGGCCUCCAAAGGUCUUCAUAGUAAUAACCAGAAGGGGAAACUGUGGGAUCUUCAGCUCUGUCCAUAUUGCUUGAAUCUGUAAAUGCCUUGGGCUUUACAAUCACUGAGUCAGGUCCACUGGAGAGUAUUGGCAUUUUGAUGUUCACAUCACUUUGGAAAAAGAGGCUUUCUUCAUGCGUCAGAAGGCCUUUUUGAUAUCCACCCUUGGCAUGGCUGAUUCGGCUAGCACAGGACAGUUUCCGUGGCUUGUAACAGAACCAUGGCUCACCAGUGUAGAGAUCCGUGAAGUUACAGACUGGAAGACCUCCAGGCAAGCACACAUUGCACUCAGUAGUUUCU